CACGUAGGGGGCAAGCGUUGUCCGGAUUUAUUGGGCGUAAAGAGCUCGUAGGUGGUUCGGUAAGUCAGGUGUGAAACCUCCAGGCUCAACCUGGAGACGCCACUUGAUACUGCUGUGACUGGAGUCCGGUAGGGGAGCGUGGAAUUCCUGGUGUAGCGGUGAAAUGCGCAGAUAUCAGGAGGAACACCAGCGGCGAAGGCGGCACUCUGGGCCGGUACUGACACUGAGGAGCGAAAGCGUGGGUAGCAAACAGG
rnacentral:rRNA from 1 species